CCUACGGAGGCAGCAGUAGGAAUUUUUCCACAAUGGGGCCCAAGCNUGAUUGGAGCAACGCCGCGUGAGUGAAGACGGCCUUCGGGUUUUAAAGCUUCUUUCUGUUCGGGACGAAGACCGGACGGGAGUCCCGGGAGCCGGUACCGACGAAGAAGCCCCUGCAAACUACGUGCCAGCAGCCCCGGUAAGACGUAGGGGCCAAGCGUUGUCCGAAUUACUGGGCGUAAAGGGCGUGUAGGCGGUGCGAUACGUAGCGGUUUUAAGCCUCCGGCUCACCCGGAGGAGGGCGGCUAAACGUUCGCGCUAGAGGGCAGGAGAGGUGCGUGGAAUUCCUGGUGGAGCGGUGAAAUGCGUAGAGAUCAGGAAGAACACCCGUGGCGAAGGCGGCGCACUGGCCUGGCCCUGACGCUGAGGCGCGACAGCGUGGGGAGCGAACGGGAUUAGAUACCCCGGUAGUCCACGCCGUAAACGAUGGGUACUAGGUGUCGCCCGGGUCCACCGGGCGGUGCCGGAGCUAACGCACUAAGUACCCCGCCUGGGGAGUACGGCCGCAAGGUUGAAACUCAAAGGAAUUGACGGGG
rnacentral:rRNA from 1 species